rfam:Pseudallescheria apiosperma strain IHEM 14462 SEQ_SAPIO_0095, whole genome shotgun sequence.
CGAGCCACCGAAUUGACACAACGUCCUGCAGCGAUGUUGUGCGACCUGCAGUGUCAACAUUCGGUGGAUCU